rnacentral:lncRNA from 1 species
CAUCAAAUAGAAUAGACACAAACUGUCAAGCCCUUUCCCUGUAAAUGGAGUUAUCAUCGCUGUGUGUUUGUCUAUGGAGAGAGCCCCAGCUAGCACCUUGGUGAGGGGUGCAACCUUGGGGAAAGCCUUCCCCACCGAGCAUCAGUUUCCCUGCCUGCACAGAUGCUCUCUAAGGCUCAUCCAGGCCUAACAUGCCAGGCAGCGGGCUCUUCCAUGGGAAAAUGGACGCUCUGACAGGCCCCCUGUGUCUGCAACACGAUCUCCUCUCUCGGGGGACACAGGCUCCCUGCCGGCGCGGCUGGUGAUUAAUAUGCCCUGAGUGGGGUUCCUGACCCGCUGUCAGGGACAUCAAGCUUUUCAGCCCCCCAAGGUGGCAGUUGGCUUUCUGGCUAUGGCAGGUGGGGAGGAGGAGCGGUCAGAAGUGCCCGCGGGUGGGCCAUGGACUUGCAGGCCGCAGCCAUCGAGCCCCAGCCCUGACUCUGCCUCCGGCCGGGCUGCCCUGGUCCCCACUGAGCAGCCGGCGUGCUCACUGGGAAGAGCAGAAACAACUGCACGAUGGCACUGGUGGCAGUGAGGCGAAGACAGAUGAGAGCAGGAGAGCGAUGAGCUCAUUAGGGAAGCAGGGACCUGGAGGAGAGAAGACACAGCCUGAUGCUGGGGACAACCUCAGGCUUUGGAGCCAGCCGGGCUCGGGGAAAAUCCCAGCUCCUGCUUUUCCAUCGGGAGGAUGCAGCCUGAGCUUGUUGAAGGGCGCUGCUGGAAAGCGGUCCUGCUCCCCCGAGCCAUCAGGAAAGUGCUGGAGAUGACCGGUACCAGUUAAAGCGGUUCGGCCCUGGGGAAAGUCUUCAGAAGAAUCAGGCAGGAGGAGAAUCCAGAGAGAGAGAACUGUGAGGAUAACAGGAGGCGCUGCUCACACCUGGAGAAACCACUCCAUGCGGAAACUGCUUAUGGGCAACUCAGGGCCCCUCGAGGUCCCACUUCCUGGGAGUAUGCUGCAUUACCCUUAGCUUUCUGUCACCCAGUCUCUGUUUCCAGGACCUUUG